rnacentral:snoRNA from 1 species
AACCCAUGAUGAGGACACUUACACAGUAACUCCUUAAAUCUCUCCCAAGCCUCAUUCAAAGAUUCGUCAUCCAAUUUUUGGAAAGUUGUGAUCUCAUUCCUCAACUU